rnacentral:misc_RNA from 1 species
GGAAGGAUCAUUCACGCCAAUUAUUCUUCUUGCCAGUGGCUUCGGCUGCUGGCAGAAAACCUAAACAAAAAUAAAAAAAACUAAAUUUUCAACGAUGGAUAUCUAGGUUCCCAUAUCGAGGAAGAACGCAGCUAACUGCGAUAAGCAAUGCGAAUUGCAGAAUCCGCGAGUCAUCAGAUUUUCGAACGCAACCGGCGUUGUGGGUUAAUUACCUGCAGCAAGUUUGCUUCAGUCUUAUUGAUUAUUACAAAUCAAAAUGCGAUUGAACUCCGGUUCUCUCGUCAAACGUGAAUACGACGUAUUCCAACCCAGUGAAGCAGUCACGUUCACGUGAUUUCGCUGGCUCUUGGACUAUGGACAGUAUCGAGACGCUAGUCUUUCACGAUAAUCAAAGCUGAAGUCAAGCUAGACUACCCGCUGAACUUAAGCAUAUUAAUAAGCGGAGGAAAAGAAAUCAACUGAGAUUCCCUUAGUAGUGGCGAACGAACAGGGAAGAGUCCAAGCUGUAAAUCUUCGUGCUUCGUGCGAAGAGUUGUAAGCUCAAGAUUUAGCUCUAAAACCUGAACAGGCGAAUAACUUACUUGGAACAGUAGGGCAAAGAGGGUGAAACCCCCGUAUUCGUUGCUUGGGAGGGUGAAAGACUGGAUCACAGAGUCGGGUAGCUUGGGAUUGCUGCCUUAAUUGGGUGAUAUACUUCAUCUAAGACUAAAUAUGGAUGGGAAACCGAUAGUGAACAAGUACUGUGAAGGAAAGAUGAAAAGAACUUUGAAAAGAGGGUUAAAAGACUUGAAAUCGUUGAGAAGGAAGGUAAGGAAGCUGGCCAAUGUAGGUGAUGCUUUACGCAAGCGAAGGCGGACGGUUUCCUCAAAAGGACCUGAAGCUGUAGCCGAGGAAGAGCCUCUCCCUGCUGAAGACAAGAUCAUGUUCGACGCUGUUGAAAGGUACGUUGUCUACCGUCAAACGUAGCUGCGUACUUACGCACUGACGAGCAUGAGGGGCUUUUGCGAUCUUGUCGAAACGGCUUUCUUACAACCGUCUUGAAACACGGACCAAGGAGUCAAUCACAUAUGCGAGUUUGCGGGUGAAAAACCCAUAGGCGAAAUGAAAGUGAAUAUAAGGUGCCAAGGUGUAACAGCCAGCAGCAUCAGCCGCCGUUGAUCUUCUGUGAAACGCGUGAGUAAGAGCAUAUUUGAUUGGACCCGAAAGAUGGUGAACUAUGCUUGAGUAGGGUGAAGCCAGGAGAAAUUCUGGUGGAGGCUCGAAGCGGUACUGACGUGCAAAUCGUUUCGUCAAACUUGAGUAUAGGGGCGAAAGACUAAUCGAACCAUCUAGUAGCUGGUUCCCUC